GACGAACGCUGGCGGCGUGCUUAACACAUGCAAGUCGAACGGAAAGGCCCUGCUUUUGUGGGGUGCUCGAGUGGCGAACGGGUGAGUAACACGUGAGUAACCUGCCCUUGACUUUGGGAUAACUUCAGGAAACUGGGGCUAAUACCGGAUAGGAGCUCCUGCUGCAUGGUGGGGGUUGGAAAGUUUCGGCGGUUGGGGAUGGACUCGCGGCUUAUCAGCUUGUUGGUGGGGUAGUGGCUUACCAAGGCUUUGACGGGUAGCCGGCCUGAGAGGGUGACCGGCCACAUGGGGAAGGGGAUACGGCCCAGACUCAUACGGGAGGCAGCAGGGGGGAAUAUGGCACAAGGGGCGGAAGCCUGAUGCAGCAACGCCGCGUGCGGGAGGACGGCCUUCGGGUUGUAAACCGCUUUCGCCUGUGACGAAGCGUGAGUGACGGUAAUGGGUAAAGAAGCACCGGCUAACUACGU
rnacentral:rRNA from 1 species